rnacentral:misc_RNA from 1 species
UACGUAGGUGGCAGGCGUUGUCCGGAAUUAUUGGGCGUAAAGCGCGCGCAGGCGGUCUUUUAAGUCUGAUGUGAAAGCCCACGGCUCAACCGUGGAGGGUCAUUGGAAACUGGAGGACUUGAGUACAGAAGAGGAGAGUGGAAUUCCACGUGUAGCGGUGAAAUGCGUAGAGAUGUGGAGGAACACCAGUGGCGAAGGCGACUCUUUGGCCUAUAACUGACGCUGAGGCACGGAGGCGUGGGGAGCGAACGGG